CUCACUACCUGCGUCGGCGUUGUGUUCCACGAGGCAAUCCGAUUCCCCUCCCGCUCCGAAAACAUUGCAGUGCGGUAAGCUUAGGGUAGCGGCGACAGGAUCCGAUCAUUUCUUCUGCAUCAAAACCCGGUCUCAUCUCUUUCAAGAUGGAGGAAAAACCCUCACUAUCUCACCGCAAACGCCCCCUUUCAGAAGACGACGACGACGAACCUCUCCAACCUCCCACGGAGAAGAGGCCAAGGUUCCCAAAGGGCAAAAAGGUGAAAAAGGAUGAUGGAAUCUCUGCCCCGGAGCUGGCCGAAGUCCAUCCGAGCGGUUGGACGGACCCUCGGCUCGCAGCGAAGGAGCGUGCCAAGCGGCGGAAUCAGAUAACGGCGGAGCUCUUCAGUGAGCAAGGUGCGGGAAUUCUCCAAGAUGUUUCCUCUGCGGAAGUAAAUUAUGAGGGUAAUGGUAAUUUUGAGGAUGACGGAAUUUUGAUAGAACCUUUCAAUCUGAAGCAAGAAAGGGAAGAAGGGUAUUUUGACGCGGAUGGGAAUUUUGUCGAAUAUGUGAAUCAAAAUGAAAUUAAGGAUGCAUGGUUGGAUAGUGUUGAUGUUGAUACAAAACUUGCUGAUAAAAGAUAUAAGAAAACAGAUAAAGAAGGAGAAGAGUUCCAAGACCUUUCAUCCGAGGACAUUGGAAAGAUGAAGAGGCGGAUUGCCAAUCUGCUCCAGCCAAGCGAAACGGUUUUACAAGCUUUAAGAAGGUUGAAAGGAAUUUCUAAUGACAAGAAAGGAAGGAUGCCAGAAGAAACAAAACGUAUGUUUGACCAGCUAACAGAGGACGCCAUGAAACUGAUGGAGAAUGGUGAUUACAAUGUGUACCAUGAGAAGCAAGAGGUAUUUGAGCGAGAGGCAGAAGGAUAUGAGCGCUUAGCUCGUGCAAGGGAAGGUACAUCCAUGAGCGCUGGCGACUCAUUUGAUAUGUUCGGGGAAGAUGAUGAAAAUGCUGCUUUGAAUCAACCCUCUGACGCGGAUGGUUUGGGCUCUCAAUCUGGACCAGAAAGCUCAGUGCCAUCACAAAAUGUGGAAUCAGAGGUUACUACUAUAGCAGCAGUUCGGGGUACUACUACGACCCUACAUCAGGGCUAUACUGCUGUGCCACAUCAGGAAAAUGGUUCUCAUUUAAUGAGCAAACGGGUUCAUAUGAUGAAAUCACCGGGGAGGCUGCACCAGAUGCUGACUAAAGAAGGGACAUGCCCAAGUAAGCUUGGAUGUAACUUUUUCUUUUUAAAAUCAAAUCACAGGGGAGGCUGCACCAGAUGCGAACUAAAGAAGGGACAUGCCCAAGUAAGCUUGGAUGUAACUUUUUUCCUUUUCAACUCUUCACCUACGUAAGAAAAUUUGAAAGAGGAAGUUUGUGAUGUUGCCGAAUUUCUCAAGGAUUUUGUACGGAGCAAAAAGUUUAUUGUUACGUGAAGUUGGCCAUAUUCGGUUUUCCCCCCAAAAGUUUUAUUUCAGGGCACCAGCAUGCGUCAUCCCAUGGGCUCACAUGCAGAGAUGGUUGGAUGAUUGGAACUGCCCAGUUUCCGGGCACUGCUGUGGAUGGCCCACAAUCCAAAUUAUAAUGCUGUGAGGAUGAUCUCAUCCCAAGAUUUGUGUGAAUUGAGCAUGAUCUGUUGGAGAUUUUCAUCUCCAAUUACUGCAAAUCUGAUAUAGAUAGUCACAAUUAUUUAUUUUGCAUUAUGGACCAUUGCCAUUCACGAUAGCACCUAGAGGAUGGACAGUUUGGAAGAAAUUGCGGAUGGCCCAUUGGCCAUUUUGGGAUCAAGGCAAAAUUAUUUGGAAAAUGCUGUUGCCAUUUGCCAUUUCAUGGGAUAUUUGGGGGGGCAUUUGGAUCAUAAGUUGCUUAAGAUAAGCUACUUAUUACAGAAGUAGCUUAUCUUAGUUUCUACUUAUUAAGAAGAUUAGUUUGUUUGGCAAACAACAUUCUUACCAGCUUCUCCUUUCUUUUCUCUCCUGAUGCCUCUCUUCAGCAACUUAUGGAAUGUAGAAAUGCUUUAAAAAAUUACCCACAGUGACUGUACUUAUAAGUAAAAAAGUUACUUAUAACUCAUCAUAAACCAAACUUACCUGAAACAAUUCACUUAUCUACUGUUGUAAGUAGAAAAGGUUACUUUUUUGGUGGUAUCCAAAUGGGCCCUUGGAGAGAGAUGCUAGAAUAUUUGAAGGUAGAGUGGCAUGUUGGAGUUCAUCAAUCGGAAUAUUGUCUUUGGUUCUGGAAUGGGCGCUAGUCUUGUUGGAGUUCACCCGUCCAUCAUAUGCAGUGCUGAUUGGAGAUUUGGAAUCAGUUAUUUUGUAAUGAUUCCUGUCUUGGAUUUUGUAUAGAAAGCCAUGGUUUCUGGAGUUAUUGCUCUUCUUUCUUUUUGGCUGUUUUUUGUUGUUGCGGGAUGAGAGGGUCACCAGCUGUUGUUAAAUCUUUUUGGGCUUCUUUGUUUCUGUUUUGAGGUUUAUUGAAAUGGUCAAUU